GGGAAUCUGCCCUUUGGUUCGGAAUAACAGUUGGAAACGACUGCUAAUACCGGAUGAUGACGAAAGUCCAAAGAUUUAUCGCCAGAGGAUGAGCCCGCGUAGGAUUAGCUAGUUGGUGUGGUAAAGGCGCACCAAGGCGACGAUCCUUAGCUGGUCUGAGAGGAUGAUCAGCCACACUGGGACUGAGGCACGGCCCAGACUCCUACGGGAGGCAGCAGUGGGGAAUAUUGGACAAUGGGCGAAAGCCUGAUCCAGCAAUGCCGCGUGAGUGAUGAAGGCCUUAGGGUUGUAAAGCUCUUUUACCCGGGAUGAUAAUGACAGUACCGGGAGAAUAAGCUCCGGCUAACUCCGUGCCAGCAGCCGCGGUAAUACGGAGGGAGCUAGCGUUGUUCGGAAUUACUGGGCGUAAAGCGCACGUAGGCGGCUUUGUAAGUUAGAGGUGAAAGCCUGGAGCUCAACUCCAGAACUGCCUUUAAGACUGCAUCGCUUGAAUCCAGGAGAGGUGAGUGGAAUUCCGAGU
rnacentral:rRNA from 1 species